AUUGAACGCUGGCGGCAGGCCUAACACAUGCAAGUCGAACGAGUGGCGGACGGGUGAGUAAUGUCUGGGAAACUGCCUGAUGGAGGGGGAUAACUACUGGAAACGGUAGCUAAUACCGCAUACCAUCGGAUGUGCCCAGAGGGGCUUAGCUAGUAGGUGGGGUAAAGGCUCACCUAGGCGACGGUCCCUAGCGGGUCGGAGAGGAUUACCAGCCACACUGGAACUGAGACACGGUCCAGACUCCUACGGGAGGCAGCAGUGGGGAAUAUUGCACAAUGGGCGCAAGCCUGAUGCAGCCAUGCCGCGUGUAUGAAGAAGGCCUUCGGGUUGUAAAGUACUUUCAUCGGGGAGGCGUUACCCGCAGAAGAAGCACCGGCUAACUCCGUGCCAGCAGCCGCGGUAAUUC
rnacentral:rRNA from 1 species